AGUGAACGCUGGCGGCAGGCCUAAUACAUGCAAGUCGAACGGCAGCACAGUGGAGCUUGCUCCAUGGGUGGCGAGUGGCGGACGGGUGAGGAAUACAUGGGAAUCUGCCCAGUCGUGGGGGAUAACGUAGGGAAACUUACGCUAAUACCGCAUGCGCCCUUCGGGGAAAGCCGGGGACCGUAAGGCCUGGCGCGAUUGGAUGAGCCCAUGUCGGAUUAGCUAGUUGGCGGGGUAACGGCCCACCAAGGCGACGAUCCGUAGCUGGUCUGAGAGGAUGAUCAGCCACACUGGAACUGAGACACGGUCCAGACUCCUACGGGAGGCAGCAGUAGGGAAUAUUGGACAAUGGGCGCAAGCCUGAUCCAGCCAUGCCGCGUGAGUGAAGAAGGCCCUCGGGUUGUAAAGCUCUUUUGUCCGGAAAGAAAAGCACUGGGUUAAUACCCCGGUGUCCUGACGGUACCGGAAGAAUAAGCACCGGCUAACUUCGUGCCAGCAGCC
rnacentral:rRNA from 1 species